rnacentral:rRNA from 1 species
AUUGAACGCUGGCGGCAUGCCUUACACAUGCAAGUCGAACGGCAGCAUGAUCUAGCUUGCUAGAUUGAUGGCGAGUGGCGAACGGGUGAGUAAUACAUCGGAACGUGCCCUGUAGUGGGGGAUAACUAGUCGAAAGAUUAGCUAAUACCGCAUACGACCUGAGGGUGAAAGUGGGGGACCGCAAGGCCUCAUGCUAUAGGAGCGGCCGAUGUCUGAUUAGCUAGUUGGUGAGGUAAAGGCUCACCAAGGCGACGAUCAGUAGCUGGUCUGAGAGGACGAUCAGCCACACUGGGACUGAGACACGGCCAAGACUACUACGGGAGGCAGCAGUGGGGAAUUUUGGACAAUGGGCGCAAGCCUGAUCCAGCAAUGCCGCGUGUGUGAAGAAGGCCUUCGGGUUGUAAAGCACUUUUGUCCGGAAAGAAAUGGCUCUGGUUAAUACCUGGGGUGGAUGACGGUACCGGAAGCAUACGGACCGGCUAAGUACGUG